ensembl:lincRNA Gm26782 predicted gene, 26782
GAGGUCCUUCCGGGAGUCCAGCUGACACAGGUCUCGGCCAGGGCUCUACCUGCGCUCAGGAUUGGAAAAGCUGUGCGCAAUGAGAGGCGCGUUGGUUCUCCGCAACGGGGAGCAGAAACCGGCCUGGGUCAGCCAGUGGACUGGUUGGAAGCAGAGAACUGAAAGAAAACCAACACCCUAGUGAGGCCAAGGGAGAUUUUAAAGGCUGAAGCAGAAGGAUCUCAAGUUCCAGCCAGAUUCCUUAGGGAGCAUUUGCCUCCAUAAAAUAACCCUAACUGUUGUCAAGUGACAGUGAACUCCAGUGACCAUCAGACAAGGGUAAGCGUAGUCUUUACCCCUCAUCAAGGAAACUUCCCUUGGCAACUGACAUCGAUCAUUACAGAAAACUGCAACCAAUCAAAUUGCAGUUGUACAGCCCAAUCCCAGCAGAUACAGCUACAAAACAACUCUUGCAACUAAGCUCAGGGAUCGUUGUGAAGGAGAGAACGGGAAGAUUGUAAGAUCCAGGGAAUCAAGGAAUUUGCUAUGAGACAGUGUCUCCCAGAAGGUGCACAUCCAUGAAAUCUCUCCAAUAUAGCUGCCUAAAUGUGACCUGAGUAAUGACACCAGUCGCCAUGUUAACACGGAUGAGGGAAAGCCAGGGAGGCUACACCCCCACCUGCAGCCAACUAAGAAAUGCUGGGAUUGGGAAAAAUUGUCUUCCCCUAGGAAGAGCACUGCAGUUGUUAUCCCAUACCACGUGGUCAGCACUGAAAACAUAUAUAUACAACUAAUAUCAUACAGGCUGAGCCAAUUGCAUUUACACAUUUAGGAAUAUACAUAUACACUUUCAUGUGUGUAAUAACAACCAAAUUUUGUUUUGUUUUUAAAAAGCUCAUGAAUUUGAAAGAAAACAAUGGGAAGGAUAUAUGAGAGGGUUUGGAGAGAGGAAAGGGAAGGGGGAAAUGAUGUAAUUAUAUUAUAAUCUC